rnacentral:rRNA from 1 species
GCAAGUCGAGCGCCACCUUCGGGUGGAGCGGCGGACGGGUGAGUAACGCGUGGGAAUCUGCCUAAUAGUGGGGGACAACUCGGGGAAACUCGAGCUAAUACCGCAUACGCCCUACGGGGGAAAGGCUUCGGCCGCUAUUAGAUGAGCCCGCGUCAGAUUAGCUUGUUGGUAGGGUAAUGGCCUACCAAGGCGACGAUCUGUAGCUGGUCUGAGAGGACGAAC